GAUCAUCUUUAACCUCUGCCGUUGAGCUCUCGUGGCCAUCGAUCUCUUUCCCCUGCGCGCGAAGCUCAAUCCCUUCCUCCGCGCCGCCCCUGCGUACUCGUCUCUGGCGCUGUUCAGCUCAAAAAAAUCUCUCAGCCGCUCAUCCCUAUCUGUUCAGCCAGCACAAGAUUUUCCUGUGUCAGUCGUUCUCAUCCUCUCCGCAGCCACUGUACCUGACUGCGUGAUAUUUUUGCCGCCGCCCUGUUCAUUUUAUAUGCGUGCAGCUCGCCGGCCGUACGCUCGCCGGAGCCCUUCCCCUGCUCGGCCUCUGAGGUUUCCCAGUAGCGGCUCCUAGCAUCUUCUCCGCGCGCAGCUUGCUUCCUCCCUCUGCCGCUCGUCUCCAUCUCUCCAUCUCCCAGCAGACCGCGCCCAGCUCCAGCCAUGAGCGCCGACGUCCUCUCUCUGUGCUUGAUCUCCCAGUCCUCCGCUCCCUGAAACCUUCACCCACAUGUUUGUGAAGGUCCGGUAGUGGAGAUCUUGCGAGGUCCACUGCUCUGCGCUCCUAUUCCACCUGUCUCAUCCCCUCAUCAUGCUCGACACUUGCUCCCUGGCAGCAUGCCGUAGCAGCAUCUGUGCUUGGUCCAUGCUCCACUGUGCCGUGCUGUUUCUCUGCACGCGUCAAGCUCACGCGCUGAAUCCAGCCCCAUGUUGACGCGUUCAUGUUCCAACUUGUCGUGCCGCGUCGUCAUCACUUUCUGUCACGAGCUCGAUUCCCGUUGUCAUCGGGCUUUGUGCGUGCUCGCGUUUGCCGUCGAGUCGUUGAACCCGUCAUCCCCUGCUCAACCCUACCCCGCCAGCUCGCUCCAGAUACAAUCUCGUUAUCGUCCCGCGCGUCAUCAAGAAUCCCAAGAAUCGGGUGAAGACGAAGCUAGCAGCGCGAUAUUCCCCAAGCGCUCGACAAUUGCCUGGAUCGGAAAAUCACUACCGAUCUCGAGGAUUCGAGUCGGCUAUUGAAACGGUACGUUAAUUAAUCGCGUGAUGCGGAAGACGAGCCAAGUCGACCCCAAGCGUGGGCUUCUUCGCAAGGCGAUGCUGAUGGACAAACCUGAAGAUGGUCGUCAAGUGCUCAUCGACUAACAACACUAACCUAGUGUUACUCAG